AUAUUUCAACAGGUUGAACAUCUGAGAAAAAUAUUAGCAUCAUGACGCAAUAUGUUGACAGAAACCAGGUGUUAAAAACCACCAAGGUGCGAACAUCGCUGAAGAAUGAUGGCAGCUGGAUCCAAAGCUCUGCACAGGAAAAGGAAGAGCGAGACAAAGCAGAGACGGACCUCGGUGAGGAGACCACACCCGCGGAAGUCAAGCAGAAGUCAUACGUCCUCUCCACGGCCAAGAUAUUUGAGUGAGUGCUACAGUAUGAAUAUUCAGAUUUGAACGUUAUCGGUGUUCUUGACUUAUUUAAA